CUUGUAUUUUGACAUACACACAAAUAUGAAGAAAGUACUCAGGGUUCAUCAAAUUGUUUACCACCCAUGCAAAAGGAAUCUCCAUCUUUGGUUCAAUUCCCUGAAUGCGCAGGAGCUUGAUCUCAGCACCAUCUGAAAUAGAGCAAGAGACGAUGCCCUCAUUCAACAUCUCCCCACUUCGUUCCGUGUUGCUCUUGUUUGUUUCUUCUGGAGAUGAUCUCUGUUCAACCUCAACUUCUUCUUUAGAUACAUCAUCUGUUGGCGGAAGUUUUUCCCCAAAAAACUCGGGCAGAAGUUUUGUUACUGCAUCAUACAAGGUGAAGCAUUUACCAUCUCCAUGGAUCUGAACAGGUCUGUUUAUGUAAGAGAUUCUGUCCCAACUUUCAACAACAGGUGCAUCUUCUAACUCGUCAAAAUCCUCAUUGAUAGUUCUAACAUACAGUCGAACCGGUAUUCUACCAGUUUUAGCUGGUGCUGUGCCAUCUGCAUUUUGAGUGCUUUCCGGUGAUUUAGGAGAGGAAAUGUUCAAUUGUAUCGAAAAAUCAUCCACAAGUAUGCCGAAUUUUAGCUUAGAUGAGAUUCGAAGAUAAGAGUCCAAAUCACCAUCCAUAAUGGAGCGCCAGAGUUCUAAUUGGUCAGAUUGGGACAUAUUCAUUACAUUUUUGCAGUUCCCAUUGAUUAUAUAUGCUGCCUCUUUAAAUGAAUUGAUAAAGCUCCAUUUUACACUAUCUUCACUGUCACAGGGUGUUAAAAUAUUUCCAGGAUAUCCUCUAAAAUGUACCGUCAGAUUCCAAGGCCGUUCAGGUUCUGCACAAAGAAGAUCAAAGAGUACCCCAGUAGGUAUAUACCAUUUGAGAGGCAAGCCAUUGUACUCAAACCAUAUGGUAUCUACACCUGGAGGAAGUGAAUUACUGAAGAAAGGCUUUACUUUUUGUGCUAAAAGAGGCAGGUACCCAAUUCGAGGAGCUAAAAUCAUAGCAGGGGGAGGAGUAGGGAGAGUAGUGAUUUCGGAUUCAUGAAGAUGAAUCUGCAGAGGGAUUGCUCCUUCCCAUAUAUACUUCUGUGCUUCAGUUCCUCCUCCUUUACUUUCCAUUAUCUUCAAUUCACCCUUCUCUUCUCUUCUCUUCUUCAGCACAGAAAAAGGUAAUAGUCGACGUUCUCUCCAAUAACUUUACUUCUUUUCGGGUGCAGCGAACUGGAAUUACAGCUUAACUAUGAAGCUUCCGCCACCAAUCUCGAAAGAUUCCGACGGAAACUUGGAUUUCGAACAGAUGAUCCCCGAAAUUUUGUUUGAACUCG
rnacentral:misc_RNA from 1 species